AUGAAAGUGCCCUUUUUUGACCCUUUGAUAAAAGAUUUAAAGUGUCUUGAGCAGGAUGGCAUCUUUGUUCAAAGGCUUGGAAAGAACGUUAGGGGAACAGUGUUCACUGUUUCUGCGGAUAAUCUUGGAGCACAUGGACUUGCAGGGUUUCAAGAGAGUUUCAGGGUGGAGAAGUUCUGUCGAUUUUGUUUGGCAUCUUUAAACGACAUUCAAAACACAGAGGUGAGAGAAGGUAUUUUUCAGCUAAGAAGUCCAGAACAACAUGAUUGCUGCAUAACAGAGUUGAACAGCAGUGAGACUUUAUCAUCUGUGGAUGGUGUGAAAUCUGAAUGUGUUCUCCAGAAACAUCUUAAAUUCUUCCACACCAUUACUGGCUUCCCUCCAGAUCUAAUGCACGACCUUUUUGAGGGAAUAGUGCCUUUUGAGAUAAGUUUAUGUCUGAAGAAAUGGAUUGAGUCUAAAUAUUUUACUCUUGAAGAGCUAAACAACAAAAUCCACUCAUUUCAAUACUGCUUUUCUGACCAGGUCAACAGACCUCAAAAAAUUCCAAAGACUUUUUCUUCAAAGAAAACAAUUGGAGGAAACGCUCACGAAAACUGGACCUUACUAAGACUGAUAUCUCUGAUGAUUGGUGGUUUGGUGCCUGAGAGUGACAAGACAUGGGAUCUCAUCAUGGAUUUGAAAGAUAUUGUCGAGCUUGUGGUAAGCCAAAAACUAACAGUGGAGGCUGUCUGGUAUCUGGAAAGCAAGAUUUCCUGCCAUCGUGAGUUGUUUAAAGAGGUCUUUCCUGAUGCAUACUUGCGUCCAAAACAUCACUUUCUUGAACACUAUCCUCACCUGAUCUGUUGCUUUGGUCCUCUAGUGGAUCUGUGGACAAUGCGCUUUGAGGCAAAGCACAGUUUUUUCAAGAAGGUUGUUCAUGAAACACAGAAUUUCAGAAACCUUCUCAAGACGUUAUCCAACAAGCAUCAACUCAUGAUGGCAUGCACCUCUACAUGUCGAAAAUGUUAA
ensembl:lncRNA